UUUUUCGGCAUGGGAUGUGCUCGCGGCCUAUCAGCUUGUUGGUGAGGUAAUGGCUCACCAAGGCUUUGACGGGUAGCCGGCCUGAGAGGGUGACCGGUCACACUGGGACUGAGACACGGCCCAGACUCCUACGGGAGGCAGCAGUGGGGAAUAUUGGACAAUGGGCGGAAGCCUGAUCCAGCAACGCCGCGUGAGGGAUGACGGCCUUCGGGUUGUAAACCUCUUUCAGUACCGACGAAGCGAAAGUGACGGUAGGUACAGAAGAAGGACCGGCCAACUACGUGCCAGCAGCCGCGGUAAUACGUAGGGUCCGAGCGUUGUCCGGAAUUAUUGGGCGUAAAGGGCUCGUAGGCGGUUUGUCGCGUCGGGAGUGAAAACACCGGGCUUAACUCGGUGCUUGCUUCCGAUACGGGCAGACUAGAGGUAUGCAGGGGAGAAUGGAAUUCCUGGUGUAGCGGUGAAAUGCGCAGAUAUCAGGAGGAACACCGGUGGCGAAGGCGGUUCUCUGGGCAUUACCUGACGCUGAGGAGCGAAAGUGUGGGGAGCGAACAGGAUUAGAUACCCUGGUAGUCCACACCGUAAACGUUGGGCGCUAGGUGUGGGGCCUAUUCCAUGGGUUCCGUGCCGUAG
rnacentral:rRNA from 1 species